UACAGGAGAUUAGGCCCCAAUCUAUUGGUCCAGGUUUUUCAUUUCUCUCUGCUCUCUUGGUUCGGGUGUGUUCUGGAAGAAGAUAAAUUCUACAGAAUAUUAGGGCCUAAUAUUGAUGUUCUAAAUGGAACGGUUAGAACUUUUUCAUGUAUGAUCUGCAUUGCAAAGUAGGGAUCUUUCUCUUUGUUCAAAGAAAAAAAAUACUCUUUCAGUCCUCCCAUGUUCCUGGAUUUUUCUUCAACUAAUCCUUUUGGGCAUUGUCUGCAAAACCUAAUCGGUAGUUUUUUGCAUUACCUUCAUGGUGUGGAGUCCCUGAUCAAGGCCAGGGCGCCGUGGAACUCAUGCUCAAGAGAGAGUGCUAUACCUGUGUUGCAUAGAAAACUGAUUCCUUCACUGGAGGAAUGAGCGCUUCAGGAGCUCCUCUUCACCAGCAGCAAGGUCAUAUUUAGUCCAUAUGAAGCAAGUACUUUUUGUAUCACACAAAGGAACUGUUGUAUUCUCCAACUUUUGCAGCAGAGAUUAUUAGUAUUUUGCUACAUUUUUCUCGUGAGCAAAUAAG